UAAAUGAAGACUCAAGAAGGGGC
rnacentral:piRNA from 1 species